GGGAGGCGGGGCUUAUCUCAUACACGGUUAGCAGUGGAGUUACGUCCCUUUAUAUUCCUUAUUAGGUAAGAAGGGGGCGGGGCUUAUUUCAUACACGGUUAGUAAAGGUGUUAUGUCCCUUUAUAAAAAACAAAACAGUACUGAGAAAAAAUCUUAAAAGUUCCAACAGACGAAGAAAUUGAUGAUUAAGAUUGAAAAAAAUUCAUAAAACACAUUUAAACCUUACAAGUCGUUAUUGUUGGCAUCUGUUUUUGUAGGAUCAAUGGAAGUAUUUUCUUAGUAGACUUUCUC
rnacentral:lncRNA from 1 species